GCGCGAGUGGCGGAAUUGGCAGACGCGCCAGAUUUAGGUUCUGGUGCCCCAUGGGCGUGCGGGUUCAAGUCCCGCCUCGCGCA
rnacentral:tRNA from 1 species